AAUGCAUUUUCAGAGUGCACAAAGCAGAAUGUAGAUCUAGUAUUCCUCUUUGAUGGAUCCCUGAGCAUGAAGAACGAAGACUUUGUAAAAAAUAAAGAAGUCAUCAAAACCAUCAUGAAGAGCAUGAGUAACACCUCAAUACAAUUUGCAGCAGUUCAGUUUUCCAAAGUAUCCCGAACAGUUUUCACAUUUAAAGACUACCAGGACAACAAAGCCUUUAAAAAACUGGAUGAUGAAGAACAUAUGAAAUCUCUGACACACACACAUGGAGCCAUGCACUACGCUCUGAAUAAUCUUUUUGACGAAUCAGAGAGUGGUCGACACCCAGAUGCAACAAAGGUGGUGGUCAUCAUUACUGAUGGCAAUCCAUCAGAUCCUGCUAGAGUCAAAGUGAAUGGCACCUCAAAGAAUAUUGUAGAAAUCUAUGAAGACCGACACAUCAUGCGCUUUG